rnacentral:rRNA from 1 species
UGGGGAAUAUUGCACAAUGGGCGCAAGCCUGAUGCAGCCAUGCCGCGUGUGUGAAGAAGGCCUUCGGGUUGUAAAGCACUUUCAGCGAGGAGGAAGGUGGUGAGCUUAAUACGCUCAUCAAUUGACGUUACUCGCAGAAGAAGCACCGGCUAACUCCGUGCCAGCAGCCGCGGUAAUACGGAGGGUGCAAGCGUUAAUCGGAAUUACUGGGCGUAAAGCGCACGCAGGCGGUUUGUUAAGUCAGAUGUGAAAUCCCCGGGCUCAACCUGGGAACUGCAUUUGAAACUGGCAAGCUAGAGUCUCGUAGAGGGGGGUAGAAUUCCAGGUGUAGCGGUGAAAUGCGUAGAGAUCUGGAGGAAUACCGGUGGCGAAGGCGGCCCCCUGGACGAAGACUGACGCUCAGGUGCGAAAGCGUGGGGCAGCAAACAGGAUUAGAUACCCUGGUAGUCCACGCUGUAAACGAUGUCGAUUUGGAGGUUGUGCCCUUGAGGCGUGGCUUCCGGAGCUAACGCGUUAAAUCGACCGCCUGGGGAGUACGGCCGCAAGGUUAAAACUUAAAGGAAUUGACGGGGUC